UCGUUUCACUCUGUUUAGGCUCGGAGGAACCGUGAGAUCGCCAUCCUACAGAGGAAGAUCGACGAGGUGCCAAGCCGGGCCGAGUUAACCCAGUAUCAGAAGAGGUUCAUCGAGCUCUACAGCCAAGUUUCUGCAACGCACAAAGAGACCAAGCAGUUCUUCACUCUGUAUAACACAUUAGAUGACAAGAAGGUUUAUUUAGAGAAAGAAGUCAAUCUGCUGAAUUCCAUUCACGACAACUUCCAGCAGGCCAUGUCGUCUUCAGCAGCCAAGGAGCAGUUCCUUAGACAGAUGGAGCAAAUAGUGGAGGGAAUCAAACAGAGCCGCAUAAAGG